GACGUAGGGGGCCAGCGUUGCUCGGAAUUACUGGGCGUAAAGGGUUCGUAGGCGGCGCGGUAAGUCGGGUGUGAAAUCUUGGAGCUUAACUCCGAAACUGCAUUCGAUACUGCCGUGCUUGAGGACUGGAGAGGAGACUGGAAUUUACGGUGUAGCGGUGAAAUGCGUAGAUAUCGUAAGGAAGACCAGUGGCGAAGGCGGGGUCUCUGGACAGUUCCUGACGCUGAGGCACGAAGGCCAGGGGAGCAAACGGG
rnacentral:rRNA from 1 species